AGUGAACGCUGGCGGCGUGCCUAACACAUGCAAGUCGAACGGAAGCACAAUAAGAUUGUGCUUUUACGGGUGGCGGCGGGCGGACGGGUAAGGAAUACAUCGCAAUCUUCUAUUUCGUGGGGGAUAACGUGGGAAAACUUACGCUAAUAGCUCAUAUGACGUACGGGUUAAAUCAAGAGAGCUUGGGAGCUUGCGUGUCUCAAUGAGCCGGUGUCGGAUUAGCUAGUUGGCUGGGUAACGGCCCACCAAGGCGACGAUCCGUAGCUGGUCUGAGAGGAUGAUCAGCCACACUGGAACUGAGACACGGUCCAGACUCCUACGGGAGGCAGCAGUGGGGAAUAUUGGACAAUGGGCGAAAGCCUGAUGCAGCCAUGCCGCGUGAGUGAUGAAGGUCUUCGGGUUGUAAAACCCUUUUGUUAGGGAAGAAAAGCAGCAGAAUAAUACAUGGAUGUUCUGACGGUACCUAAAGAAAAAGCACCGGCUAACUUCGUG
rnacentral:rRNA from 1 species